ACAUAGGAUCCAAGCGUUGUCCGGAUUUACUGGGUAUAAAGGGUGCGUAGGCGGCCUUGUGCGUCAGAGGUGAAAUCUCCGGGCUUAACCCGGAGGGUGCCUUUGAUACGGCAGGGCUUGAGUGCGAGAGAGGAUGAUGGGAUUCCUGGUGUAGGAGUGAAAUGCUGGAAUAUCAGGGGGAACACCGGUGGCGAAGGCGUUCAACUGGCACGGAUCUGACGGUGAGGAACGAAAGCUGGGGGAGCAAAUAG
rnacentral:rRNA from 1 species